rnacentral:tRNA from 1 species
AGCUCAAUAGUUAAGAGCACUGGCUGAUAUUCCAGAGGUCCUGAGUUCAAUUCUCAG